rnacentral:rRNA from 1 species
AUUGAACGCUGGCGGCAGGCCUAACACAUGCAAGUCGAGCGGAUGAAGGGAGCUUGCUCCUGGAUUCAGCGGCGGACGGGUGAGUAAUGCCUAGGAAUCUGCCUGGUAGUGGGGGAUAACGUCCGUAAACGGGCGCUAAUACCGCAUACGUCCUGUGGGAGAAAGUUGGGGAUCUUCGGACCUCACGCUAUCAGAUGAUCCUAGGUCGGAUUAGCUAGUUGGGGGGGUAAAGGCCUACCAAGGCAACGAUCCGUAACUGGUCUUAGCGGAUGAUCAGUCACACUGGAACUGAGAAACGGUCCAGAAUCCUACGGGAGGCAGCAGUGGGGAAUAUUGGCCAAUGGGCGAAAGCCUGAUCCAGCCAUGCCGCGUGUGUGAAGAAGGUCUUCGGAUUGUAAAGCACUUUAAGUUGGGAGGAAGGGCAGUAAGUUAAUACCUUGCUGUUUUGACGUUACCAAAAGAAUAAGCACCGGCUAACUUCGUG